rnacentral:rRNA from 1 species
UGGGGAAUUUUGGACAAUGGGCGAAAGCCUGAUCCAGCAAUGCCGCGUGUGUGAAGAAGGCCUUCGGGUUGUAAAGCGCUUUUGUCCGGAAAGAAAUCCUUGGCUCUAAUACAGUCGGGGGAAUGACGGUACCGGAAGAAUAAGCACCGGCUAACUACGUGCCAGCAGCCGCGGUAAUACGUAGGGUGCAAGCGUUAAUCGGAAUUACUGGGCGUAAAGCGUGCGCAGGCGGUUUGCUAAGACCGAUGUGAAAUCCCCGGGCUCAACCUGGGAACUGCAUUGGUGACUGGCAGGCUAGAGUAUGGCAGAGGGGGGUUAGAAUUCCACGUGUAGCAGUGAAAUGCGUAGAGAUGUGGAGGAAUACGAUGGCGAAGGCAGCCCCCUGGGCCAAUACUGACGCUCAUGCACGAAAGCGUGGGGAGCAAACAGGAUUAGAUACCCUGGUAGUCCACGCCCUAAAACGAUGUCAACUAGUUGUUGGGGAUUCAUUUCCUUAGUAACGUAGCUAACGCGUGAAGUUGACCGCCUGGGGAGUACGGUCGCAAGAUU